UGGGGAAUAUUGCGCAAUGGGCGAAAGCCUGACGCAGCGACGCCGCGUGAGGGAUGAAGGUUUUCGGAUCGUAAACCUCUGUCAGAAGGGAAGAAACCGCACUGUGCUAAUCAGCAGUGCCUUGACGGUACCUUCAAAGGAAGCACCGGCUAACUUCGUGCCAGCAGCCGCGGUAAUACGGAGGGUGCAAGCGUUAAUCGGAAUUACUGGGCGUAAAGCGCACGUAGGCUGCUUUGUAAGUCAGGGGUGAAAUCCCACGGCUCAACCGUGGAACUGCCUUUGAUACUGCUUAGCUUGAAUCCGGGAGAGGGUGGCGGAAUUCCAGGUGUAGGAGUGAAAUCCGUAGAUAUCUGGAGGAACAUCAGUGGCGAAGGCGGCCACCUGGACCGGUAUUGACGCUGAGGUGCGAAAGCGUGGGGAGCAAACAGG
rnacentral:rRNA from 1 species